GUAAUAUGUAUUAAACAAAAAUAUAAGGGGAGGUUAUUGUAAUUUUUCCUUAAAAGUUAAAACUAAGUUGCGGUACUGUAGGGUUGCACUGUUUGGGAAAAGUUAGAAAUGGUAGAGUUGGGCCCGGUGGGGUAUUACUACCAGUUGUUUUUCUUUCGUUUUUUUUUUGAAUUUGGCAAAGUACUGUACUACCUGUUCGACGUUGAUGCACAACACGAGACAGGAUUGUGACUAUGCAUA
rnacentral:lncRNA from 1 species